UCCAAAUCCUCAGGUUUGGUUUCCGGGACCUUCAGGCUGUGUCUCCCCUUUCCCUAGGCCUCCAAACCCUCAGGUUUGGUCCCCAGGCCCACAGAUCCGGGCCUCCCCUUCCCCUGGGCCUCCAAACCCACAGGUUUGGCCCCCGGGCCCUCAGAUCUGGGCCUCCAAACCCACAGGUUUGGCCCCCGGCCCCACAGGUCCCAGCCUCCCAUUCCCCUGGGCCUCCAAACCCACAGGUUUGGCCCCCGGCCCCUCAGAUCUGGGCCUCCCCUUCCCUUGGGCCUCCAAACCCUCAGAGCCGGUUUCCGGGGCCCACAGGUCCCAGCCUCCCAUUCCCCUGCGCCUCCAAAUCCUCAGGUUUGGUUUCCGGGACCUCAGGUCUGGGCCUCCCCUUUCCCUAGGCCUCCAAACCCUCAGGUUUGGUCCCCAGGCCCACAGAUCCAGGCCUCCCCUUCCCCUGGGCCUCCAAACCCACAGGUUUGGCCCCCGGGCCCUGAGAUCUGGGCCUCCCCUUCCCCUGGGCCUCCAAACCCACAGGUUUGGCCCCCGGGCCCUCAGAUCUGGGCCUCCAAACCCACAGGUUUGGCCCCCGGCCCCUCAGAUCUGGGCCUCCUCUUCCCCUGGGCCUCCAAACCCUCAGGUUUGGUCCCCAGGCCUCCCCUUCCCCUGGGCCUCCAUACCCACAGGUUUGGCCCCCGGCCCCUCAGAUCUGGGCCUCCCCUUCCCCUGGGCCUCCAAAACCUCAGAGCCGGCUCCCGGGGCCCACAGGUCCCGGCCUCCCCUUCCCCUAGGCCUCCAAACCCUCAGGUUUGGUCACCUGGCCCACAGAUCCGGGCCUCCCCUUCCCCUGGGGCUCCAUACCCUUAGGUUUGGCCCCCGGGCUCUCAGGUCCUGGCCUCCUCUUCCCCUGGGCCUCCAAACCCUCAGAGCCGGCUCCCGGGGCCCACAGGUCCCGGCCUCCCCUUCCCCUAGGCCUCCAAACCCACAGGUUUGGCCCCCGGGCCCUCAGAUCUGGGCCUCCAAACCCACAGGUUUGGCCCCCGGCCCCUCAGAUCUGGGCCUCCCCUUCCCCUUGGCCUCCAAAACCUCAGAGCCGGCUUCCGGGGCCCACAGGUCCCGGCCUCCCCUUCCCCUGGGCCUCCAAACCCUCAGAGCCAGCUCCCGACGCACACAUGUCCCGGCCUCCCCUUCCCCUGGGCUUCCAAACCCACAGGUUUGGCCCCGGGCCCUGAGAUCUGAGCCUCCCCUUCCCCUGGGCCUCCAAACCCACAGGUUUGGCCCCCGGGCCCUCAGAUCUGGGCCUCCAAACCCACAGAUUUCGCCCCCGGGCCCUCAGAUCUGGGCCUCCAAACCCACAGGUUUGGCCCCCGGCCCCUCAGAUCUGGGCCUCCCCUUCCCCUGGGCCUCCAAACCCACAGGCUUAGCCCCCGGGGCCCUCAGAUCCGGGCCUCCCCUUCCCCUGGGCCUCCAAACCCUCAGAGCCGGCUCCCGGGGCCCACGGGUCCCGGCCUCCCCUUCCCCUGGGCCUCCAAACCCACAGGCUUAGCCCCCGGGGCCCUCAGAUCCGGGCCUCCCCUUCCCCUGGGCCUCCAAACCCUCAGAGCCGGCUCCCGGGGCCCACAGGUCCCGGCCUCCCCUUCCCCUGGGCCUCCAAACCCUCAGAGCCGGCUCCCGGGGCCCAUAGGUCCCCACCUCCCAUUCCCUUUGGCCUCCAAACCCACAGUAUUGGCCUCCGGGCCCUCAGAGCCGGGCCUCCCCUUCCCCUGGGCCUCCAAACCCUCAGAGCUAGCUCCCGGGGCCCACAGGCCCCAGCCUCCCUUUCCCCUGCGCCUCCAAACCCUCACAGCUGGCUCCCUGGGCCCACAGGUCCCGACCUCCCCUUCCCCUGGGCCUCCAAACCCACAGGUUUGGCCCCCGGCCUCUCAGAUCUGGGCCUCCCCUUCCCCUGGGCCUCCAAACCCUCAGAGCCGGCUCCCGGGGCCCACAGGUCCCGGCCUCCCCUUCCCCUGGGCCUCCAAAACCUCAGAGCCGGCUCCCGGGGCCCACAGGUCCCGGCCUCCCCUUCCCCUGGGCCUCCAAAACCUCAGAGCCGGCUCCCGGGGCCCACAGGUCCCGGCCUCCCCUUCCCCUGGGCCUCCAAACCCACAGGCCUAGCCCCCGGGGCCCUCAGAUCCGGGCCUCCCCUUCCCCUGGGCCUCCAAACCCUCAGAGCCGGCUCCUGGGGCCCACAGGUCCCGGCCUCCCCUUCCCCUGGGCCUCCAAACCCUCAGAGCCGGCCCCCGGGCUCCACAGGUCCGAGCCUCCCAUUCCCCUGGGCCUCCAAAUCUUCACGUUUGGUCCCCGGGACCUCAGGUCUGGGCCUCCCCUUACCCUAGGCCUCCAA
rnacentral:lncRNA from 1 species